AAAGAGUCCCUCCCGACUGUUUACCAAAAACACAGCACUUUGCCAACUCGUAAGAGGAAGUAUAAGGUGUGACGCCUGCCCGGUGCUCGAAGGUUAAGAGGAUGCGUCAGUCGCAAGAUGAAGCGUUGAAUUGAAGCCCGAGUAAACGGCGGCCGUAACUAUAACGGUCCUAAGGUAGCGAAAUUCCUUGUCGGUUAAAUACCGACCUGCAUGAAUGGCGUAACGAGAUGGGAGCUGUCUCAACCAGAGAUUCAGUGAAAUUGUAGUGGAGGUGAAAAUUCCUCCUACCCGCGGCAAGACGGAGAGACCCCGUGGACCUUUACUACAACUUAGCACUGCUAAUGGGAAUAUCAUGCGCAGGAUAGGUGGGAGGCUUUGAAGUAAGGGCUUUGGCUCUUAUGGAGCCAUCCUUGAGAUACCACCCUUGAUGUUUCUGUUAGCUAACUGGCCUGUGUUAUCCACAGGCAGGACAAUGCUUGGUGGGUAGUUUG
rnacentral:rRNA from 1 species